AUGGCUCUCGGUCCAGCCAUGCCUUCUCUUCGGCUGGCUUUGGUGCUGCUGGCGGCGGCACAUCCUUUUCCCCGCCCAGUUCUGGGCCAUGGCGUUGGUGGUGGAUCUGGUGCCUGCAGUGAGUUGUGUUGGUGGUGCUGGUUGGUGAUUGUGGUGCAUCCGGCGGCGCCCAAGUCACCUUCUUGUCUGGUGAUGGGUGCAUCUCUCCCUGCCGUGGUGGUUCCAGCCAGCUACAUGGGUUCCUUGUCUUCGAUUCCUGAUCCGGCGGCAUUUGGGGUGAUUCGGUCAAAGGCCGGGACGAAAUCCUUGCUCAGCUUGCCGGUGCUGGCAGCGGCGGCAUCUACGGAUGCCGCCUCAUUCUUGAAGGCGUUGCCAUGGCCUUUCGACCUGUCCUCCUUUGAGCACCGGGGGAAACCCUUGGUCCGGUUCUCCAGACCAGUCGGCGGCGGCGUCCCGAUGUCGUCCCCCUUCAUGAAGGCGUCGUCUUGGUUGCUCGUGGUGUCUUCGGUGUUGAAAUUGGUGAUGUUGGACACCCUACUUGGUUUUGGGCUGCUUUUCAAGAUGUGGACAUCUGAGGCGCAAUGUACAACAUCGCCGACGCUUCUUCCAUGGCUUCCUCCUCAGGCCGAUCCGAUCCUGCAACCCACUUGCCGACUCUUCUUGGCGUUUCAAGGUGGGGGGUACGUUGAUUUGCUCCGUCCUGAUGGCAUGGUCGUGUGA
rnacentral:rRNA from 1 species